rnacentral:rRNA from 1 species
AGUAACACGUAACCAAUCUACCUUACCGUCCGGGAUAACUAGCCGAAAGGUUAGCUAAUACCUGAUACGCCUAUUGAGCGGCAUCGUUUGAUAGUGAAAGCAGCAAUGCGCGGUUUGAGGAGGUUGCGGCCCAUUAGCCAGUUGGCGGGGUAACGGCCCACCAAAGCAACGAUGGGUAGCUGGUCUGAGAGGACGACCAGCCACACUGGGACUGAGACACGGCCCAG